GCGAGAUAGCUCAGUUGGCUAGAGCAUUCGGUUCAUACCCGAACGGUCGUGGGUUCAAAUCCAACUCUCGC
rnacentral:tRNA from 1 species